CACUGAUGGUACAGAGAUAUGCCCAAAACGGCGCCAACACCAAGACAUUAAAAGCAUUGCUGACAUCAUCCAAAGCAUAGCUGACAAGGUGGAUCCAGCAACAACCUUCCACAUCUGCAUUACGAGGGACCAGAUGCUGGAAAGAGGCAUGAAACUGUGGCAACGACAAAAUAAAUCUUCCCCCAAAAACCUUCUUGCAGUUUCAUUCAUAGGAGAGGCUGGCAUUGACAGUGGUGCCCUGAGGAAGGAAUUUUUAACUGAAAUGCUGGCAGGGAUCGAGAGGAGGUUUUUUGAGGGGGGCAUUGAUGGCAAAGUACCAAAGUACUCAAUGACCGACUUUGAAAAAUACAACUUCAAGACUAUUGGAGAAAUAUUUGCUGCGAGUCUCGCACAAGGGGGACCACCACCAAACUUUUUAAUGCAGCGGUGUUACAGCUACAUAUCCACUGGUGAAUUUGACCAGGGAUCA